CCCUUAGAUGUUCGGGGCCGCACGCGCGCUACACUGAAGGAAUCAGCACGUCUUUCUCCUUGUCCGAAAGGACUGGGUAACCCGCUGAACCUCCUUCGUGCUAGGGAUUGGGGCUUGUAAUUCUUCCCCAUGAACGAGGAAUUCCCAGUAAGCGCGAGUCAUAAGCUCGCGUUGAUUACGCCCCUGCCCUUUGUACACACCGCCCGUCGCUACUACCGAUUGGAUGGUUUAGUGAGAUCCUCGGAUUGGUCCCGGCGCGGCCUCUGGUCGUGCCGGAGUGCCGAAAAGAAUGUCGAACUUGAUCAUCUAGAGGAAGUAAAAGUCGUAACA
rnacentral:rRNA from 1 species